ensembl:lncRNA
CUUUCAGUGGUGUUUUUUCCUGGUCUGGGGAAAAGUUCCUUUGUGAUUUUUCACUUUCACGGGGCUUCAUUUCAUCUUGGCUACUGCAUUUGAAAUGUUAAAUAUUUUCUGGAUGAGAGCAUCCCCUUUCCGCUUCAAAUUGAAGUUCAGCUACACAUAGCUCAAGGAAGAAUAUUCUGUGGAGUCAUCAAGCGAGAUCAGAGAAAAUGAAGACAAGGCUUAUGACUAAGACUGAGAAAGUUCAUGGCUCCUCUUCCUUAUGCCUAGAUGUUACCAUUCCGUCAUAGACGUAUGUACAUACACAAUAGUGUGUGGUUGCCGAGCAUUUUCCUAUUGUUUAGGGAAUUACAGUUCCACAUAUACUCUAUUGUUGAAGAAAUAAGAAUGACACAGGAUCUUGUACAAAUACUUCAUACUGUGUCUCAUUACCAACUUGCAACAAUGCAAUUAAUGUAUUUUUAUACUUUUCAGUGCAUUGAAAUAUACUCAUUUAAUGUAUAAGAAAUAGUUAAAUUUUAAAAGAUGGUGGCAGAUGAAACUGACAAAACUCUAGAAUCUUAUGAAGAACUGGAGUACUGGACAAGAAGUCCUAUAUGAAACAGAAAUGCCAAUAUGCAGGGUAAAGAAUCUUGGUUACAUAUGAAGAUUUUAUUUUGAAAAACUAAAAUCAGUUUAUCUUAACUCCAUAAUAAAUUGGAGAAGCUUGAAGAAAAAUUAUGUGUUUGAACCCGUUAGAAGUGUAACAUAAGGACCCCUCCACAUAUCUGUACAAAUUUUGAAUCUACAACUUACAUCAUAUUGAGACAGAAUGAAGUAGCAAAGUUUUUCCUUUAUUUGGUAUGACCUUUGCUGGAGUUAUAUUGAUCUAGUGGAAAAGAGUAUGAUAAGAAAAUGGAAAUGAUUGAGAAAAGAACUAGACUGAUAUGAUUAUUACAAAUAUCAUGAAUUGUAGAUUAAGCAAUAAAAACUUGAAGUCAGCUAGUAUGAUUAAUAUAAACUACUUUUAAAUUGAUCAAAAUAUAAGAAAAUAUUCUUCUCAAUCCUUUUUUUCAAGACAGAGAAUUGAGCAAUAGCUAAAUAUUGUAGUAAGUAAUAGAUUGUUAUGCUACUAAUAGUAAAGUGUUGUAAAAUUUUUCUUCCAAAGCAGUAUACUGAAAUGUUACAAGAAUUGUUUCAAACCAUAGUUGCUGGGAUACUCCUGCAUGCUUUCAGUAUGCUGCCCUGACUUAUUCUCUACUGAAAUAUAUUCAAAAUAUGUAUAUUAGCACUUGUACCUUAUUGUUUAGGUUUCAUUGACUCUGAUGUAAUUCCUUCAAUACUGGUAACUUAACGCUAAUUUCAGCCCAAAUUUCUGGAAGUUUUCUAUGUGCAUAUGCCAGUCAAGACAAAUUGGGGUGAUGGCACUCCCUUAGAGAGCAGCUUUCUGAGUAAAUUUAUUCAUAGUAAGAGAUAAUGUCUGGACCAAGGUCAGGAAAUCUAAAUCUCCACAGGAAUAGCUGUGUGCACAUGGCUAAGGAAAUAAUUACAUCUGAAUUGAAAAAGAAAAAGAAAAAGAAAAAAAGAAAAAGAAAAAGAAAAAGAAAAAGAAAAA